AAUCCAUAGGUUAAUGAGGCGAACCGGGGGAACUGAAACAUCUAAGUACCCCGAGGAAAAGAAAUCAACCGAGAUUCCCCCAGUAGCGGCGAGCGAACGGGGAGGAGCCCAGAGCCUGAAUCAGCAUGUGUGUUAGUGGAAGCGUCUGGAAAGGCGCGCGAUACAGGGUGACAGCCCCGUACACAAAAGCGCAUGUGCUGUGAGCUCGAUGAGUAGGGCGGGACACGUGGUAUCCUGUCUGAAUAUGGGGGGACCAUCCUCCAAGGCUAAAUACUCCUGACUGACCGAUAGUGAACCAGUACCGUGAGGGAAAGGCGAAAAGAACCCCGGCGAGGGGAGUGAAAAAGAACCUGAAACCGUGUACGUACAAGCAGUGGGAGCACCCUUUGGGUGUGACUGCGUACCUUUUGUAUAAUGGGUCAGCGACUUAUAUUCUGUAGCAAGGUUAACCGAAUAGGGGAGCCGGAGGGAAACCGAGUCUUAACCGGGCGUUAAGUUGCAGGGUAUAGACCCGAAACCCGGUGAUCUAGCCAUGGGCAGGUUGAAGGUUGGGUAACACUAACUGGAGGACCGAACCGACUAAUGUUGAAAAAUUAGCGGAUGACCUGUGGCUGGGGGUGAAAGGCCAAUCAAACCGGGAGAUAGCUGGUUCUCCCCGAAAGCUAUUUAGGUAGCGCCUCGUGAAUUCAUCUCCGGGGGUAGAGCACUGUUUCGGCUAGGGGGCCAUCCCGGCUUACCAACCCGAUGCAAACUGCGAAUACCGGAGAAUGUUAUCACGGGAGACACACGGCGGGUGCUAACGUCCGUCGUGAAGAGGGAAACAACCCAGACCGCCAGCUAAGGUCCCAAAGUCAUGGUUAAGUGGGAAACGAUGUGGGAAGGCCCAGACAGCCAGGAUGUUGGCUUAGAAGCAGCCAUCAUUUAAAGAAAGCGUAAUAGCUCACUGGUCGAGUCGGCCUGCGCGGAAGAUGUAACGGGGCUAAACCAUGCACCGAAGCUGCGGCAGCGACACUGUGUGUUGUUGGGUA
rnacentral:rRNA from 4 species